UUGAGAAAGAAAAGCAGAAGCUGCUGCUAGAGAUUAGAGAUCAGAUCGAGAAGCUAGUAGAGAAAUUGAGAGAUGAUGAAGAGAUUCAGAGAGACACUGUUCGAAUUCAGACAUGGCAGAGAUGAUGUUCAAGAAAGAAAGGGUGAAUCGGGAAUAAAUUGAGAUGAAGAAACUUAGGGUUUUGCUGUUGCUCAAUCGAACCAAGAAAUUAGAGUUGAGAAAGGGGAUCUGGUGCGAAUUGAAACAAGGGGUUUGUGUUGAUUUUCUAUUCUGAAGGAAGAACCUGGUGGAUUUGUAUGAAGAUUAAAUGAGAAAAGGGGAUUCUGAACUGAGAAGGAAUUAGGAUUCGAGAUUUAGGGUUCUGUGAUGUUGAACAGAGAAGAUAGGCAAGAAACAAGAAGCUGUUACCAACUGCUGUUUCGAUGCAGGUUUUGAAAAGAUGGGUUUGAUGGGUUUUUGGUGGUCUUGGUUGUGAACAGUUGGUAAUGGAGAAGUUUGAGAAGCUGAAAAUGAAGCUGUAGAUGAUGAAACUGGUUAGAGUUCUACUUGAUUUUGGUUCGGCAAAUUGGUGGAUGACUGAAUGAGUUUGAAAAGAAAUGGCUGAACUACUGAGCUGUUAAUGGAAGUGGAUGUUGAUGGUGUGCAGCUAAGAAUGCAGUUAAAGCUGCAGAGAUAGUGGACUGGGGUUGUGCAGGCAUGAAGUGAAGUUGAUGCUAUUGAAGUGACAAGGAGUUAUAGGACAACGCAGAUGCAGUUAGGGAAAGUGCUUGUGUAGAAUGGCUAGUGGUGCUGUGUUAGUGGGUUUGAUUGUGGCAAUGAGUUGAGGAAGUGCCAGAGAUGGCUGCGGGAAGUAGUGGUGCAGCUGGUUAUGGAGAUGAAUGGCAGUUGGUCUUGGUUUGGCACUGCAAUGGACUGAAUUGCAGGUAUGAGGUGCAGCUACAAAUGUGCUUGUUCAAAGAAGCUACAAAGGAUGAGUGGAAUGCAUUGCAGGUGAUGCAACAAUGAAAUUGAGUCGAAUGUUGCAGUUUGUGCAGGAUCUAAAGGAAGAGUUAUGUAUGAUUGAAGUGCACCUGGGUAUGAAAUGCAGGAAAGGCUGGUCUGUAAGUACUGUAUGAAUGGUCUGAGCUCGGAAUUGCAGGUGGAGUUUGGCUGAAUGCAUUGGAGCUGAUUGAGCUUGUAUGAGUCACGAAGGAAUUGAAGUCGUAGCUGGAAUUGCAAGAGCAUUACAGGAUUGUGGAUUUAAAAGUGGUGUUUAUGUCAUCAAUGGGAGUUGGUAUUGCAGCUGGUAAUGACUCCGGAGAUUCUUACAAGAUAGUGCGAGAUGGAGUUGUGCUGGAGAUUACAAGGAAUAGCUGAAAUGGAUGAGAGUGUUGCCAUAGUACUGAAGCUGUGAUGUUGUUGGUGGUUUCUGGUGUGCAACUGAAUUUACAGGAGCAGAAAGGUGUUGGUGGUAUGAAUGGGACUGUAAUGGAUUGAGAUUGAAGUUGCAGUUGCAAGUGUUGUUGUGAUAGAAAGAAUGAAGGUGUUGGGGCUAGGAAGUGUUGGGGCCUGUCAUGGCUCUGCAAUGGUUUCAAGAGAAGGUGCUGGUGCUUGAAAGGGAGUGUUGGUGCUGAUAUUAAAGUGGAGAUGGUUGAAUCAGUAAGAUGGUGGUGUUGCAGGUGAUAAAUGACCGAGGAAGCUGAGUUGCAGUUGUGUAAGCCAAUGCAGUGGUGGAAUUGGAGCUACAAGGAAGUCGUGGGGAGAAGACAAUGGAGUCUGGGUUGUGAUACGAAGUUAGUACAUGGAUGAAUUUGUGGAGUUGGCCUGAGUUGUGAAGGAUGAAUGAAUAGAUGCAUGUUAGGAUGAAGUUGUGCAGUGAAGGUUAGAAUGCUUCAACAGAGGAGUACACGGUCAGUUCCAUGGGACUGACAGUUCAACCGAGUUGACUCAAUCCAGUGAGACAGGCGAGCUGACUCAGACCCGGUUGGACUUGGACCUGGGCUUGGCUGAUGGGUGUUUUAGGAGCGGGCUUUUGGCAGAAAAUGGUUGCAGAGAAAAAAGUUUCAGGGUUUGCUCUCUCUCUCAGACGAAGAAACAGGCCGAGAACACGAUUUCUAAUCGAAAUUUCCAGUUCAACAAUGGAACUAUGAAGAUCUUCAACAACAACAGAAAUAAAGAAGAUAACAACUAAUCGUCAUUCACAGGUGAUUCAAAAUCUGAUUCUUCUUUUGCUUUGGAAACAACUAAUGAAGAAGCUGUUAAUAGUAAUAAUUUUCAUCUGGAGAUUCGGUAUCACCAACAUCUGAAAAUUCUGUUUUUGAGUUCUAAAUGUUUGAUGAAUUGCUUCUGUUGUUUGGUUUUAUUGAUGUUGUUUAAUUUUUGUAAUUUAAGGAUACGAAAUGUAGAUGAAGUAUUUGGAUCUGGCAUUUAGUAUGUUUAUUUACAUAUUCUCAGUUUUUACUAAACAAAAUUGUUACAAAAUGUGAAG